rnacentral:rRNA from 1 species
UAGUAAUGUAGGGUGGCGGUGUGCGUAAAUACAGCGGAGACAGACAUGAGGUUUGAUCUGGGCUCAAGACGAACGCUGGCAGACAUGCCUUAAACAUACAAGUCGAGCGAAAUUGAUAGGAAACUUGCCUCUAUGAUGAUUAGCGGCGGACGGGUGAGGUACACGUAGGCAACCUGCCCUCAAAGGUUUGGACAACUACACGGGAAACAGUAGCUAAUACCGAAUAGAUUGUUUUCUUCGCCUGAAGAGAAACUGGAAAGAACGGAGCAAUCUGUCACUAAGAGGAUGGGCCUGCGACGCAUUAGCUAGUUGUGAGGUAACGGCUCACCAAGGCGACGAUGCGUAGCCGACCUGAGAGGGUGAUCGGCCACACUGGGACUGAGACACGGCCCAGACUCCUACGGGAGGCAGCAGUAGGGAAUCUUCCGCAAUGGGCGAAAAGCCUGACGGAGCAAUGCCGCGUGAGUGAUGAAGGUUUUCGGAUCGUAAAGCUCUGUUGCCAGGGAAGAACGCUUGGGAGAGUAACUGCUCUCAAGGUGACGGUACCUGAGAAGAAAGCCCCGGCUAACUACGUGCCAGCAGCCGCGGUAAUACGUAGGGGGCAAGCGUUGUCCGGAAUUAUUGGGCGUAAAGCGCGCGCAGGCGGUCAUUUAAGUCUGGUGUUUAAUCCCGGGGCUCAACCCCGGAUCGCACUGGAAACUGGGUGACUUGAGUGCAGAAGAGGAGAGUGGAAUUCCACGUGUAGCGGUGAAAUGCGUAGAUAUGUGGAGGAACACCAGUGGCGAAGGCGACUCUCUGGGCUGUAACUGACGCUGAGGCGCGAAAGCGUGGGGAGCAAACAGGAUUAGAUACCCUGGUAGUCCACGCCGUAAACGAUGAGUCUCUUAAAUGUUAGGGGUUUCGAUACCCUUGGUGCCGAAGUUAACACAUUAAGCACUCCGCCUUGGGAAAAACCCU